rnacentral:rRNA from 1 species
GUGGCGAACGGGUGAGUAACACGUGGGUAACCUGCCCAGAAGUAGGGGAUAACACCUGGAAACAGAUGCUAAUACCGUAUAACAGAGAAAACCGCAUGGUUUUCUUUUAAAAGAUGGCUCUGCUAUCACUUCUGGAUGGACCCGCGGCGUAUUAGCUAGUUGGUGAGGUAAAGGCUCACCAAGGCAGUGAUACGUAGCCGACCUGAGAGGGUAAUCGGCCACAUUGGGACUGAGACACGGCCCAGACUCCUACGGGAGGCAGCAGUAGGGAAUCUUCCACAAUGGACGCAAGUCUGAUGGAGCAACGCCGCGUGAGUGAAGAAGGGUUUCGGCUCGUAAAGCUCUGUUGUUAAAGAAGAACGUGGGUAAGAGUAACUGUUUACCCAGUGACGGUAUUUAACCAGAAAGCCACGGCUAACUACGUGCCAGCAGCCGCGGUAAUACGUAGGUGGCAAGCGUUAUCCGGAUUUAUUGGGCGUAAAGCGAGCGCAGGCGGUCUUUUAAGUCUAAUGUGAAAGCCUUCGGCUCAACCGAAGAAGUGCAUUGGAAACUGGGAGACUUGAGUGCAGAAGAGGACAGUGGAACUCCAUGUGUAGCGGUGAAAUGCGUAGAUAUAUGGAAGAACACCAGUGGCGAAGGCGGCUGUCUGGUCUGCAACUGACGCUGAGGCUCGAAAGCAUGGGUAGCGAACAGGAUUAGAUACCCUGGUAGUCCAUGCCGUAAACGAUGAUUACUAAGUGUUGGAGGGUUUCCGCCCUUCAGUGCUGCAGCUAACGCAUUAAGUAAUCCGCCUGGGGAGUACGACCGCAAGGUUGAAACUCAAAAGAAUUGACGGGGGCCCGCACAAGCGGUGGAGCAUGUGGUUUAAUUCGAAGCUACGCGAAGAACCUUACCAGGUCUUGACAUCUUCUGACAGUCUAAGAGAUUAGAGGUUCCCUUCGGGGACAGAAUGACAGGUGGUGCAUGGUUGUCGUCAGCUCGUGUCGUGAGAUGUUGGGUUAAGUCCCGCAACGAGCGCAACCCUUAUUACUAGUUGCCAGCAUUAAGUUGGGCACUCUAGUGAGACUGCCGGUGACAAACCGGAGGAAGGUGGGGACGACGUCAAAUCAUCAUGCCCCUUAUGACCUGGGCUACACACGUGCUACAAUGGAUGGUACAACGAGUCGCGAGACCGCGAGGUUAAGCUAAUCUCUUAAAACCAUUCUCAGUUCGGACUGUAGGCUGCAACUCGCCUACACGAAGUCGGAAUCGCUAGUAAUCGCGGAUCAGCAUGCCGCGGUGAAUACGUUCCCGGGCCUUGUACACACCGCCCGUCACACCAUGAGAGUUUGUAACACCCAAAGCCGGUGGGGUA